rnacentral:rRNA from 1 species
UGGGGAAUUUUGGACAAUGGACGCAAGUCUGAUCCAGCCAUGCCGCGUGCGGGAAGAAGGCCUUCGGGUUGUAAACCGCUUAUGUCAGGGAAGAAACGAGUUUCUCUAAUACAGAGACUUAAUGACAGUACCUGAAGGAUAAGCACCGGCUAACUACGUGCCAGCAGCCGCGGUAAUACGUAGGGUGCAAGCGUUAAUCGGAAUUACUGGGCGUAAAGCGUGCGCAGGCGGUUAUGCAAGACAGAGGUGAAAUCCCCGGGCUCAACCUGGGAACUGCCUUUGUGACUGCAUAGCUAGAGUACGGUAGAGGGAGAUGGAAUUCUGCGUGUAGCAGUGAAAUGCGUAGAUAUGCGGAGGAACACGGAUGGCGAAGGCAAUCCCCUGGACCUGUACUGACGCUCAUGCACGAAAGCGUGGGGAGCAAACA